UACAGAGGGGGCAAGCGUUGUUCGGAAUUACUGGGCGUAAAGGGCGCGUAGGCGGCCCGCUAAGUCGAACGUGAAAUCCCCGAGCUCAACUCGGGAACUGCGUCCGAUACUGGCGGGCUUGAAUCCGGGAGAGGGAUGCGGAAUUCCAGGUGUAGCGGUGAAAUGCGUAGAUAUCUGGAGGAACACCGGUGGCGAAGGCGGCAUCCUGGACCGGCAUUGAC
rnacentral:rRNA from 1 species